GCAGUUGCAGAGCACCAGUUUUACAGAAUCUGAUCUGGGAACACCAUGUCCCCAUUUAAUGUAAGAUCUGGAUGAAGCCUACACUUGGAGAUUCUAGUAAAGAACUUCUUAAAGGGGUGCUCAAGUGAAUUGGUCAUGGUGCAAGGACCGUGUGUACAAAUUCUGCACAUUCUGAGAUAUGUAGACUAACUUUGUAACUCCACCUCCGGCGGCGGCAGCAAACAUGGAGCGAGAAUUCUGGCAUGGUUAAUGUCAAUUCUGUGCAUAUACUAUUAUAGAAUUUCAUUCAUUGGGCGAUGGCAAAACAUGUCAGGGUACUUCGAGCAUCAUAACUAAUGCAGCAGGCUCUAGAACUUAUUAUGCUUGGAGUAGCAAGAACCAUACCACUGACGUAAAUAAAAAGAUUGCCAAAUACAGAGUCCUCAAGCAGAGAAAAAUAGAGUAUAAGCUCCCACUUUACAAAACCCGGACCUACUCACA